rnacentral:rRNA from 1 species
AUACGAAGGGGGCUAGCGUUGUUCGGAAUUACUGGGCGUAAAGCGCGCGUAGGCGGAUCGGUCAGUUAGGGGUGAAAUCCCAGGGCUUAACCCUGGAACUGCCUCUAAUACUGCCAGUCUUGAGUUCGGGAGAGGUGAGUGGAAUUCCUAGUGUAGAGGUGAAAUUCGUAGAUAUUAGGAAGAACACCAGUGGCGAAGGCGGCUCACUGGCCCGAUACUGACGCUGAGGCGCGAAAGCGUGGGGAGCAAACAGGAUUAGAAACCCUAGUAGUCC